rnacentral:rRNA from 1 species
GUGGGGAAUCUUCCGCAAUGGACGAAAGUCUGACGGAGCAACGCCGCGUGAGUGAUGAAGGUCUUCGGAUUGUAAAGCUCUGUUAAUCGGGACGAAAGAGCCUAGUGUGAAUAAUGCUAGGAAGUGACGGUACCGGAAUAGAAAGCCACGGCUAACUACGUGCCAGCAGCCGCGGUAAUACGUAGGUGGCAAGCGUUGUCCGGAAUGAUUGGGCGUAAAGCGCGCGCAGGCGGAUCUGCCAGUCUGUCUUAAAAGUUCGGGGCUUAACCCCGUGAUGGGAUGGAAACUACAGAUCUAGAGUAUCGGAGAGGAAAGUGGAAUUCCUAGUGUAGCGGUGAAAUGCGUAGAUAUUAGGAAGAACACCAGUGGCGAAGGCGACUUUCUGGACGAAAACUGACGCUGAGGCGCGAAAGCCAGGGGAGCGAACGGGAUUAGAUACCCGUGUAGUCC